rnacentral:ribozyme from 1 species
AAAGUCAAAAACCAAAAAGAAAAAUCAUCAUCGAGUUAAGUUUGGUUUCUUGACCUCACUUUUUUCUGUCAUGUUAUUCUUUUCAUGUUUUUUUUUUUGUUUGUUUUUUUCGUUUUAUUUUUUUCCCAAUAC